CCAAUAGCGUAUAUUAAAGUUGUUGCAGUUAAAAAGCUCGUAGUUGAAUUUCGGGGUUAGUAGGCUGGUCGUGCCACUGGUAUGUACUGGUCUUACUGACUUCUCCUUUCUGAAGAACUGUAAUGCCAUUAAUUUGGUGUUGCAGGGAAUCAGGACUGUUACUUUGAAAAAAUUAGAGUGUUUAAAGCAGGCUAACGCUUGAAUACAUUAGCAUGGAAUAAUGAAAUAGGACGUUCGAUCCUAUUUUGUUGGUUUCUAGGAUUGACGUAAUGAUUAAUAGGGAUAGUUGGGGGCAUUAGUAUUCAAUUGUCAGAGGUGAAAUUCUUGGAUUUAUUGAAGACUAACUACUGCGAAAGCAUUUGCCAAGGAUGUUUUCAUUAAUCAAGAACGAAAGUUAGGGGAUCGAAGACGAUCAGAUACCGUCGUAGUCUUAACCAUAAACUAUGCCGACUAGGGAUCGGAUGAUGUUAAUUUUUUAAUGACUCAUUCGGCGCCUUACG
rnacentral:rRNA from 1 species